GCGGACCGAGGGUGCGGUGAGCACCUGCUGCUUUAUAGGCCCACGGGAGCCACCGCCCGUGACGUCACGGGCCGGCCGUGGGUGGAGGCGGCAGGAGGUUACUACCCCCAAAUGCCGCCGCAGACAGACGGCAGCCCAGCAGCCCGGAGGAAGUGGGAAUCGAGCCCUGUCAACGCGGGGAGAAACUGCCCCACUCCUGUUCUAAACUGGUGUGGUGCCGUGCUUGGGAGCUGACAGCCCAAAGUCCUAGUGUCACAGGGCCUGAAAAAAAACCUCUGCGUGGACGUUGAUGUUAGCGGGAUGACAGACCAGGAGAUUGAAGUAGCAAAGUCCCACGUUAGGACAUAGAGCCCUGAAGAGCAGCGGUGACUUAGUGACCUAAGCUUGAAGACUUUGAGAAGGGUAAACUUGAGAAUAUCUGCUUUUGUGAAAAACAAACCUAUAAGAAUUCUGAGCUGUCUAGAAUGCUGAAGGGAGUGGGAGUGAGUCCGGUCAUUAACACCCCAUCUCAGACAGCUUGCACUGUUGACAUUCCCCCAGCAUCUCUGCUUCAGUUGCAGGACAUGGAAAAAUAAGGUUGUGGCUGAGCAGAAAGUGUCUCCUUCUUGCAGGAUAUCUACUAUAAUGUUAGUUACUACUAAGAAUUCCAGGGAAAGUUAUGGCUCCAGACUCUACUCAGCCUCCAGCUCUGGUGGGGCCAGACAGCAUUGUGAAUUCAAGCCCCUGAAGAAUCAAAGAACAAGGAAAUCUAACAAGAAGAAGAGAGGUAAAGGGAUGAUGAACAUGGUCAUGAUUAAACCAUAUCAUGUGUAUGUUUGAAUGUUGUAACAGAAGCCAUUAUUUGUACAAUUCAUAUAUUUUCUCAAAUAAAAAGGAAAUAAUAAGCA